rnacentral:rRNA from 1 species
UGGUGGAGUGAUUUGUCUGGUUAAUUCCGUUAACGAACGAGACCUCGACCUGCUAAAUAGUUCGGCGAACCCUCUGGGUUCGUGCGUGACUUCUUAGAGGGACUAUCGGUGUGUAGCCGAUGGAAGUUCGAGGCAAUAACA